rnacentral:rRNA from 1 species
UACAGGGGGGGCAAGCGUUGUUCGGAAUUACUGGGCGUAAAGGGCUCGUAGGUGGCCAACUAAGUCAGACGUGAAAUCCCUCAGCUUAACUGGGGAACUGCGUCUGAUACUGGAUGGCUUGAGUUUGGGAGAGGGAUGCGGAAUUCCAGGUGUAGCGGUGAAAUGCGUAGAUAUCUGGAGGAACACCGGUGGCGAAGGCGGCAUCCUGGACCAACACUGACACUGAGGCACGAAGGCCAGGGGAGCAAACGGG